rnacentral:rRNA from 1 species
GAAGAACCUUACCAAGUCUUGACAUCCCGAUGACAGAGUAUGUAAUGUACUCUCUCUUCGGAGCAUCGGUGACAGGUGGUGCAUGGNUGUCGUCAGCUCGUGUCGUGAGAUGUUGGGUUAAGUCCCGCAACGAGCGCAACCCCUGUCCUUAGUAGCCAGCAGUUCGGCUGGGCACUCUAGGGAGACUGCCAGGGAUAACCUGGAGGAAGGCGGGGAUGACGUCAAAUCAUCAUGCCCCUUAUGACUUGGGCUACACACGUGCUACAAUGGCGUAAACAAAGGGAAGCGGAGCCGCGAGGCCGAACAAAUCUCAAAAAUAACGUCUCAGUUCGGACUGUAGUCUGCAACCCGACUACACGAAGCUGGAAUCGCUAGUAAUCGCAGAUCAGAAUGCUGCGGUGAAUACGUUCCCGGGUCUUGUACACACCG